UUCUGGCAGAACCACUUCUGGACCUGUCCCUCUGCACCCCCCAUUCCUGCGCCCUCAUUUAACCUCCCUGACUCUGACCUGGGCUUGGGUCUAUCUCGGGGCCUGGCUGCUGUCCUGGGACGGGAAGGGGAGCAGAUCAGAACUCAGCCUGCGGCUCCAGGCCGCUGGGCGCUGGCUGGGCCUCACGUUCUCCUGGAAGGACCACCUCCCUUGCCCUCCACGGGGUCUGCCUUUGCUCCCAAGGGUCCGCCCUGGAUGGAGCGUCCUUCUUGCCUGGGCGUCUUCAGACCUUCAUCUGUGACACCGGGGGCCAUGUGGCUCACCCCGAGGAAAGUGAAGACUAAGGGCCAAGCAUGAGCCUUUCUUCCUGCUCUUUUACCCUUGAGGCAGCAGGAGAGGAUAUUCACCUCCUGACGUGACAGAUUCUGACGCUAUCUGCUCCUCUGUGACUUUGGGAAGCCGGGUAUGUGCUGCUCCUGGGCUGAUGGGGGAAAGUGCCUCUCCCAGCAAUGCUGGUGCCACUUGGUGUGCUACGGCCCCCCAGGGCAGUGCGGAGCCAUCUGGGACAGUUAGACAAUGAGAGACGUGAAGCCAUUUCAAGGUGCUUCCUUGAAAAUGCUCCAGAAAAACAGCAGAGGCGGCCUCUCUGGGGAUCCAGUCCAGCCCUUGAAAAGAAUCUGUUUGUUUCACCACUGAACUCAAAUAAGCCAACAGAUUGAAGGAAGGGAGUUUCCACGCGCCCCUCCCCACCAAGCAGUUACCUGAGUUCCAGAGUCCAGUCUGAUGGAUCCCAUUUUACCCUGGUUUAAAUUGUUUCCUUAGAAAAAAAUAAACAGAACCUCUUCUCUCACUCUCCAGUGGAAAGUAUAGAAUCAAACGUAAAUGAAA
rnacentral:lncRNA from 1 species